AUGACAUCUUGUGACAUUCAAAAGGAGCUUGCAAUGUGGUGUGCACAUGAAGUUACCAAGAGGAUCAGGGCAGAGCUUGGUGAUAAAAAAUUCUCUGUGCUUAUUGGUGAAUUGCGUGAUAUAUCAGUGAAAGAGCAAAUGGCGGUGAUCUUGAGGUUUUCGAAUGACAGAGAAAAGGUCGUGGAACGAUUUAUUGCUCUGCACCAUGUCAAAGAUACUACAUCUGAGGCACUAAAGAAUGCUAUUUGUGGUAUUCUUGAUCAUUAUAAGUUAUUUAUUUCAAGGAUACGAGGGCAAGGAUAUGAUGGUGCUUCAAAUAUGAGAGGCAAGUUUAAUGGUUUGCAGAAAAAGAUGAUAGAUGAAAACCCUUUUGCUUUCUAUGUUCAUUGCUAUGCUCAUCAUUUGCAGUUGGUGGUUGUCUCUGUUGCAUAG
rnacentral:rRNA from 1 species